AAUGACUUUACCUUUGCCUUAAACAGGUGCUCCUAGGACUUGUGAUUUUUAAGUGUAUUUUUGGGACUUUAGUGUUUGUUUUUCACCAAAGAUAAGGCACUAGGAAGUCUCUGCCAGAAAGAUCUUGAAAUUUGUCAGGGUCGUGAGUAAUUAUAUCAGCUCUUAUCAGUUGCUCCUUAAUGCUUCCUGCUCCACCAGAAGUGGUUUGUUUUGAGCAGUUUUGGCUUUCUCCUAUAUGAUCUCUGAGAUCUCUCCAUCUCAACUGUGAGCAGAGGGGCAGUAAAGCUCUGAAAUGGGGCAUGACUUGUGACCUUGAAAAUCUAGACCAUGGCUUUGACCUGACCAAGGAAGAGGAUAAACACUCAGUGAAGCAAUAUGAGAAAAAUGGAAUCAGAUAGAGAAUUACAAACUAAUUUCCUGCAGGACACUGAACAGCAAGAAGCCAAUGGUAGCUGGUGACAGCUACUGAUGUGAAUUAGGUUUGGACUGAUUCACUAGAGAUGAAAGACUGUGUUUCACUUGGUUCCAUGUGUUGCUGUAUAUUUCUGUUCAUUAUGUAGCUCCUUGGUGGUCAUUCUUUUCAGUUCAUGGGGUGAUUUAGGACUUCAAAAUGAAAGUAUUCAUGACAGCAUUUGUUUUCCAAUAGUACUGUUAACAGGCAGCAAGAAAAAAAGAAGGAAAAAUGUUUAAAUAAAUUAUUCACUGAAAAGUUCUGGUAGUUUGCAAGGUAAAUGAUUAGGUGCAGUCAUUAGCAGUAGAUUAAUUAAAUUACUCCAAAUAAAUCUACAAGAGAAAAAGAAUGUGUUGCACAUCUUACUGGAUUUUUCUGUUGAAGACAGUUGGCCAUGUUUAUCCUUCUGUGGAGAGGACACUACAAAUGAUUUCCCUGGGAAGGAAGUUUCUUUCUAAGCCUUCAAUGGGUUGAAAACAAAUUGCUUUUGUAGGUAAAACAGAGUUAUUAGGAAACAGAAUUUACACAGUUCAAUAGAACAGAUCUAUCUGACACGGUCCCCAGCCCAUCCUGUGGUGCAGCCCUGCCAUCCUUCUUUUGCUCCAUCUUCCCUGUGUCAACCAACACUGGAUUCACACACAUCAGACCUCCAUGAGUUUCCCGGUGACCAUCUGUUGCUUGAGCAGUCAGAGGUGGCUGUCAGUGAAAGAGAAGGAACUCCUGCUGCAGUUACAGGAUGAAGGCAAGUGAAUGAAUGAGACAGUGCCUCAUCCUCAGCCAGCCUAUUCCGACAGGGAGGGACCGGGCUCUUCCCGAUGAAAGGGAGUGCAGAUGAAAUCCUGGCAAUGGAGUAUGGCAGAGCCCUGUGCCUUCUGCCAACCAGAGCUGCCUCUGGGCACUGCUGGCAGUCACUGCUCCACUGUUUUCCUCACUACUGCUAGGUCCCAUGCUUUUGCUCAGCAACUCACCUCAGUGUCUGGCAUUUAAGUAUGGGUAUCCUGAAACAUAUGUGUGCUACUCUAUUCUGAUUGUGUUUGUCUACUUGUAUUUAUACUGUUUCAGAGCAGGCAAACAUUAGAUAUUACAUUUUAGCAUCAUACCUAUGGGCAGUGCACCCUUCACUCAUAGUUUUUUGUUGUUGUUUUGUACCGUGGAGUAUGUGCUGUGUAACUUAGUCUUACAUGGUUUUACACUUGUUACUGAAGAUGAAAUACAGAGUAUAGGAGACACUGACUUGCUUAGGUGGCAGCAAAUGAAGAUGUACAUGGUGCUAGUGAACAGCAGGGUGUUGUGGCUGGUCAGUGAAGCUUAAUAAAGGCAAGAGCCAAGCCUCUUUGGAGGUACAAAGAGUCAAAGAAGCAUUAGAGUAAUUUAAAAAAUUUAAACUGUGGCUAAAAUCUGAAACCAUAAUUUCUUGAAAAUUCUUUGUUAUUUACUAGACUUUCCUCUUGAAAACCCCAUCAUAGGAUGAAGUGCAGCUUGUAGAGCAGCAGGAAGAUCAGCUUCUGUUUGGGGAGGCUUGACUGAAAAAGAUAAGGCCCCCAGCUUUAUCUCUUACAUGACUUUUUAUCUCUGUGGGUGUGUCUGUACCUGCAUGUGUUGGUAUAUUUCUGAGUAUUCUGUAAGUCGUAUUACUCACAUUUUCAAAAUCAAGAGAACACAACUAAUCUGACUUUUGUAUCAAUAGCUGUGUUUUACAACUUCAUCUACAUCCUCGUGCUUCGCAGCAUGAGUCAAUACAAUUAACAAGUAAGAGUUUCUUAAUUCUUAUUUCAAACACUUAUUUAUGGGGAUGCACAGUCCAAACGAGUUUUCUGUAUGUAAUGCUGUAGAGUUUUAGGUUACCUGAACCUACAUUUCUUUCAAUCAGUUGUGAUUUUGCCUAUAGUUUUACUAAGAAAAAACUUUUUCAACUCUUAAACUGGAAGGUUCGUUUGUUUGCUGCAGUGCGUCUUGUCAUUGGAGACAAUGCUGCUAGUACAAACUCAUUUUCCGUAUCUAUAUUGGUUACCUACCAAAAUAUUUAAAACCAAACUCACUCAGCAAGUGAUUUGAAAUUAUCAAAUGAUUAUAAAUAAGGUGAUUGUAGUCACUGCUUUCUUAAGACCCCUUGAUUUCAAGGGAAUAGUUCACAAGAGAGCUCCAGUGUUGCUUCUUCUUCCAAACCAGUGAUUUUCAAUGUUAAGGGGAAAAAAAAAAAAAAAGAAAAAAAAAAGGAAAGGUAAAACCAAACUGGCAACGCACUGGUGAAAGGAAUUACAUGCUUUCCAAGGACUUGACAAAUGGGAAAUCUGAAAUUCUGUAUCUGUCAACCAGACAGUAACAGCUUCUGCUUUAUCAUUGAAAACUAGUUUUCACUGCUUUUGAUAGCAUGCCUGAAAUCUGGUCUGGAGCAGUGGGCCAAAGUAGUUUGGUUACAUCAGGGCGCUUUUGCUUGCCAGUGUGAAUGGCAAAAUGUCUUCUGUGAGCCUGGAAAGAGCACAGACCCUGUUAAUGCACAGGAGGAAUAUCUGAAAAUGCCCAAAUGUAUUAGCAGAGCUUGAUGUAAACCUCUGAAUAUGAUAAACUUACUAUCUGGAUUUGUUAUCUUUUCAGGUGGGACCUUCUUCUGACAUGUGAUCUACAGUGAGCUACUCUGAAUCGUACAAUGACAAUGUUAUCACUGCCACAUCUCUGGGAACCAGUUGUUCAUAAGUAUACGGAAGUGUAAGAACAGUAUGCUUCCUGGCGUACAUCACCAUCCAAACUGCAAAGGUUUCAGUUCCAUGGCAACACGAAGAGCCUGACUGUGCUGAAGGUGCCAGCUGCUAUUUGUAAGCACCUUCCCAGGGGAGCACCUCAUUCAGUUUGGCAGGAAGGAUGAAGAGGAACAUCAAAGAAAGAAGAAAAGGAGGAGAGAAAUGAAGGAUGGGAAGAGUGAGAAAACACAGCAAAGGUAGAAGGGCGAUCAGAGAAACAACAGGGGCUGGGAAGAGCAUAACACAGGAAAGAGAUGUUGCUUUGGUGCCUAUGAGGGAAAAGUUGUUUUUCAGAUGUAAUGUAGACAAAACCAAGCCAAACCAAAAAAAAAAUAGAGCAAGAAAAUUAAAAUACAUGAAAUAGAAGAAGACAUAAGGGGAGGAGAAUUCUGAUUGACAUGAAGAAGAAAAAAUACAUAAAAUACAUGGAUGAAUUUCAUACCCUGGUCCAACCAAUUUUAAAUAGUAGCUGCUAAGUUUAUAGCAUCAAGACCUUCUUGAUGUGGAGGUUUGUGAGGAGCACUAGGGCCACACUGGGAGGCUUCUGCAGGCACCAGAAUGUGUGGAAUGGGUUUUGGAGGCAGAUCUCUUCUGUGCACCAUGGCUGGAAGUCUAAAGCCAGUAUGAAUAUCCCCAAGAACAACUGCCCAUUCUACAUUUGAAGACUGACAGUUAUAAAAAUAUGACCACUUCUCUCUGAAGGUAUCUGAGGAAGGGCUCUUGCCAUGCAGGCAGAGAUAAGGACUCCCUCUAGAUCCCUCUUCCAGUUAUUCAAGCUAUCUAGGCUACCAGAAAUAAAGAGCUGAAUGGAAAUUUUUGUUCUGGCUGUGAAAAGAAGCUUUUGAAUGAAUUCUACAUCAAAUAAUGAAUGUCUUCUUUCCUCCUCCUCUCCACCUACCUUGUUCCUAAACAUUACCAUUUCAUGUCACUUGAGCUAAGUUCGGUGUCAGACUCACAGGAUCCUGCUGAAAAAUACACCCCUCUUUUGUGGCAAGCCAGAGAAGAUGAGAGGCCUGUGGUGUUUUUCCUUCUCAAUCUCUGCUCUGCUGGGAAAAGCAGCUAAGGCUGUGUGAAGCUGUCUUCUUCCCACUCUCCUAAACUUCACUCCUAAAAGUGCUGCUCCCUCAACGGCUUUGCUGUUUCUCUGAAGGAGGCAUGGUUUGGCCCACUUAGUGCCAUCACUUCCCAGGAGAUGUUUUCUCAGAUUGUGGUGACUUUCAUCAUGAUAGGAGGCUGAAGAAGAUUGCUGCAGAACAAGUCAUGGGCAUUGCUAGCUGUGCCAUUUGAAAAUGGUUACUUAAGCAUGAAAGAGAAGAAGAAGAUCAGAAAUUAAGAGAUUUUAAACCCUGUCUCCAAACUUCCAAAUCAUUUCUGCCAUUUCUGCUUCCUCUUUUCUGAACACUUGGGCUGUAUUUGCAUUAUAUUUUUAAUCUUUUUUCCAGAACCACCAACGUGAGAAACAUCCUUUCUCUGAAACAGGGAGUUUCGUGGGCAGUGGUACCAGUAUGUGUUUUCCAUGGCCCUUUUUCCCCUAGGACUUCUCAGCCACGUCAUGUAUCUUCCUGCCAGCAGGCAGGAGGCUUGAGGCUGCCCAUCGGGGCUGAGGCUCGCACCCUGGCUCACCACCACGGUGGCUGUGCAACACCCAAGGGCUGAGCUUGGAGCAUCAGUCUGGAUUUCCUCCUCAGACCCAGCUACCAAUUUUCUCCAGACUUUUUAGAAUGUCAUUACUGAAAUGCAGUGAGGAGAUAAUGAAUAUGUGCAGAGGUGGAGAAAUGUGCAUUCAAAACAGUGGGUUUGUUAUACAAGAAGGGGAAUGGUUCUCUGGGCACUUUUGUCUGAGAUUCUCUGCAGUGUGUGGUAGUAUUUCAUGGUAAAAGCAUGGGGACAUGAGCUUAUCUGGAGACUGUAAUAAUUUUUCCUACUAUAGAGAAAGCAAGUAAUGAAGAGGCACAAGAAGGAAAUGUUGGUGAAAACAGAUCUUUUGACAAUGACCACAGUCUUGCCACUUUUGAUGGAGUGAGUAGGGACAUUCCUGUAUCUCACUGUAGUUAUGCAGAAAUGUGUUGGUACUUGCUUAUUUUGAUCAGUGCUGAAAAGCAGAAGCAAAAAAUUGCAUGUGGCCUUGGGGUACUGUAAUACACCUGAAAUCGAAGCCAGCUUGAUGUAGAAAUUAUGAGAGCUGAUGUUUGUGUAACCCUAAAUCUCUCAACCUGUACCUGAAUUUACUUCUCAGAUGUUAGAGAUAAAUCACUCUUCCCACAAUGCCAUGUGAACAGGACAGCCAUUUCUGCAAGACAGGAGGAGAGUUUUUUCCUUCUCUCAUCCCAGUGUCCAGUCCAGCAAUGAGGAAUCAAAUUUAACCCUCAGUUUCAGGCCCUGUGAGUCUUUAGUUCUUUUCCAGCAGCAAAACAAUUACUUUUGAUAGGUACACUAGUUGUUUUUUUAGUUUGCCUAUAAUCAGUUUUCUGAGAGGUUGCUUUGAUGUGGGAGGAACUGAAUUCUUUGGGUUCGAAUAUUUGCUGUUGACUCUCUUAGUCAUUAAGAGGUGUUUUCCACAUUAAGGUGCCUUUACUUUUAAGGGAAAAUGUCACACAUCUUCUGGUACCAGAUACACAAAAUGUGGGGUUCCCUAAAGAGGAACCAUUUGUUGAGCUGCAGCACAUAAGGCCAGGAAGGACCAAGACCAACCCAAGCAUUGCCAGCCUCGUGGGGAGAGACUCAACAACCUCCCAGCCUCACCAGCCCCAGCACCUGAGAACCCACAGAUGCUGGUUCCAGCUAUAGACCUACAUCCCUGCUGAUAUGCCUCCAUGCUAAAAGAUGUUCUUUUCCAAAAAGAACAUGUCUUUUUUUUUUUUUUGUUAUAAAUUCCCUUGCCACCUUUUUGUAUUUUCCAACUGGAGCUCUUCUAAGGCUCUCUGCCUCUGCAGUUCUUGUCUUUGUAUAGGUUAUUUUUGGAAACUGGGGAACCAGGAGGAGGCAUGAAAUUUAGGUGAGUUAACUGCGGAAGAAGUAGAAAAUUCUUUCCCUUGAUGUGCUCUUUCUUUCCUGUCUUUUCUUCUUGUGACCUCUGUGGUCCGACCCCCAUUGCAUCUCCAUUCCAGGGCAAGCUGCGGCUGACCCUCUUUGUGCCCAGUGAGUGACUCCUUCCCACGAGGUGGUGUGCCGGUUUGCAAGCUGUGCUUGCUUGCCUCUUCAUCCCUGCAGUGGCUGCCGUUUCUCUUCUGGUUUUCUGGGUCAGCCACUUGGCCAAAAAGUGGGUAGGUGGUCGAGCAGAGUUUUGGGAGCUGUGAAACACCGGUUGCACUUCGGAAGUUAUGUACUUUAGGAUAAAUUCUUCUCUGUAUGCAGAGAAGAAUGCGUUUCCUUUAUUGUUUCCUCAGUGGAGCAACUCUGUCCAGGUGGUUGGCUUUUUCUUGAAGUAUCGGUAUGUUUUUUACGUUAGAAGUGUUAUAUGCUGACUGCCAAACUUUGCAAGAUAAAACAAAUUCUUUGAAAGACUGGAGAAUAGCAACUGAAAACUGACCUGGCAGGGAGACCAGGAGCUCACUUUUUGGUUCCAGUGCAUGGGGCAGGUAGUGAUGAGCAUAGACCCCCAAAAUGCCUGAGCUGUUCUGAACAGGGACAAUCACUUCACAUCCUUAAUUUUCAACACCAAAAUGUACAGAGAAAUUUUCUAUGAAGCAGCACCCAAGGACUUUCUUUAUCCUGUCUAUAUUUUCUAAAAUCAUUAGUGCGUAGAAAGACAUUGACCAUACAGUAAGUCAGGCUGCCCUUUUGCUAACUGAGAGAGUAUUCAAAUAAUUGAGAUGCCUGUGAUUGGCCAUGAAAAUUUGCUGAUGUUUACCCUGCUGUCAGGUAUUGAAGUCACACCAUAAUAUUUAUUGUGGGAUCUUGCAAUAGAUUUUAAAAUAGAUUGACAUCACAGUACAAAGUAGGAAUUUUCCUCAUUUUUGUCUUCAGUUAUGAAAAUGCUUAAAUAGCAGUGUAGUGCAGCAAAUGAUAAACAUUAAAAGCUGAGUUUAUGUGUGCUGAUAAAAGGAGGUUGGUAGAGAAGGAAGUAACUUGAGUUUGAUAGGAAUAUGGUGAAAAGCAAAAGUAGGGGAUGAUUGUAGAUUCAGAGCAGUAAUAUGCCAACUUUAAAGGAUGGAUUUGGGUCAGCAACAUAAUGAGGUGGUAUUGAGGAAGAUUUUAAAUAAAUAAAUUUUUAAAAUUAUGAUUCUAUACAAGAAGCUGUACAACUGAUGCAAAAAACCAGCCAGAUAUGGGAAGAAUGAAAUCAAAAGAACAUGAAGUACUGUCUUUAAAUAUGUAGAAAUGGAGGGAGUUUUACUACGAUGCUAUGGCAGAGAUCAAUUAAACUGUGCAGAAUGGUUAUGCAAAAUGUUCCUGUAGGGAAAUAGCAGUUUUCUGUAGAUUCUAGGAAGGAGUACUGGCUUGCUGCUGGCAGUGAUUUAUUUCCAUCCAGCCGUGAUGCUUGUGUCUGGCACUCAAUGAAAUCUUCCAGGGUAAAUUAUUUAUUUAAUUCAGAAUGGCCACAGUUGCUCCGAGACACUGGCAGCACAGCAGCAGGAAGUCUCUUAGAGAUUGCCUCUAACUUCUUACAGAUAGGCUGCUUAUAUAUAUACCUUAAAUAAUUAAAAUCAUAAAUAAGUAUAUGUUGGCAUUUUUGUUUAUUAGCAACAGUUCAUAAUAAUGAGUCCAAUGAAUGUAUUACCAUGCGUUGUAGAUAUCUAAUUUCUUGAUUAAAUAACCCAGAGGCUUGUGCAGCGAGCUAAGACAUCAGAUUGUUGCUAACUGAACUUUUGAACUUUUCAUAGGAAAAGGAGAUGUCAGUAAGAGAAGAAUCAAAUUUAUGAGUGUGUAAGCUUGAGCUACCCAAAACCUUUCAUUUCAGUAAGCAUUCCCUUAAGAACAAAGAGAGAAAUCCCCCUCUUCUUAUGCCAAGUCAGCAAGAUAAUGCUUUUUUCUUAGUUUAACAUAUUCCAGAGAUAAGAGGUAGAGCUGGUGGUUUGAGGGAGUCCAAGAAGAGAGGAAUUUGAGUAUAACUAACAAGAGAAACUGUCAUUUGAGCAGAAGUCCCUGAAGAGUCUCUACAAGAUUUCAUAUUUUUAUCUGUGCUGUUUAAAACAAUAAAAAAUGAAGCAAUGUGAUUUGGUAAUUGUACUUUUUUCAAUAAAUUCGAUUUUUAAGAAUACUUUUUGAGUUUAAUCCUUGCUUUCUUUGAUUGUUGAGCAAUAGGAUAAAACCUGGCAAGAGGAAAA